CUUAGCUUGGAUGAGCACAUGACCACACGACAGAAACACAACUUUAUAACCAAGACACAGUUUUCGUCUUGAAGGGGGCGUGCACGGUGGGGCCUGCGUUACAUAAACAGAUCCCCGUGAGCAGGUUCCACACCGCUGACUGACAAACGGGACUGUAGAGUAAUCCUGGAUGGCUCAACACAUCAGCACAGUUGGCAACAACUGAGGCAAAAAACUUUUUAUCGUAAUGUCUCUGUGGACCCUGCUGGUGGGACACCUGGUCCUCAGGUGCCUGGAACGGAGGACCCUUAAAGCCUACAUUAGCUGUGUCUCAAUUCAGGAGCUGCAUCCUUCGGGGGACCUGGCCUUCACAGUCUACGUGGGCCAAGUCCUCCGAAGACCGAGAAGGCUGGAAGUGAGCGGCUGUGAAAUGGGAGCCCUCAGAUUUGUGUCACCAGCUGUCUCAGUGGAGUUUAAUAAACUCAGCCGUCUGCUCCUUGUUAUCAACUCUUAAAAGUUGGGAUGGGGAGAACAAAUAGCUGGAAAACUCUCCAGGUACUCAUGAAAAAAGGGCUUUCGUAUAUCUUCCCUCUUCACCGCCCCGGCUGCUUACUUUGUACAGCACAAGCAACAGUGGCCCACAGACUGGUUAUUCCACAUGCUUUGUACAAUGACAGCCACUGACAAAAGAGCUCUCUACAGGAAGAUGGACCACCAACAGACUGGGAGGUGGCUUGCUACGCCAUAAAUUCUGCUUUAGAAAGGCAGAGUUUCUCAUAAGUAAAGAUCAGCAGAGUUCCACCAGUCUGUUAAAAAAAAGAAAAUAAAAACAAGAAAGAAAUAAAAACUGCAUCUACAGACUAGCUGCAGUUUAACUCAAGUUCAAGUUUAUUGUCAUAUUCAGAUAACAUUGUAGCAACAUUUACCUGUAAUGAAAUUCUUAGACUUGUGUCCCCCAACUUUACAUGAACAUAUAUAAAGUAUACAUGUAUAUUAAAGAAAAUAAUAAUAAUAAUACUACUAAAAUUAAAAAAAUGUAAUAAAAAUAC